ACGGCUACUACUUCCCCCACGCUGCUGCUACUACAGAAAUACUACAGGAACUCAGUGAAGACUGAGGGAGAGGGCCGUAUAUGUUCUAUUAGUGAUAGUAACAGUGAUAGCAGGAAUAAAACUGGGUAGCAGUUUAAUACUUUACAUAAUGAUUUUUCUUCUGGUUUGUGUUCUGGAUUUUGUUCCAUUUUUGCUGUCAUAAAUUUGUGGAGUCUGGUAUAUUCUGGAUUGUGCUUUAAAUGAAUACUUUGUAGUGUGCUUAUCUUAUGGAUUUUUCAAAUGCCAUGGUUUUGAGUGGUCUAAACCAGUGUUUUAUUUUUUUUGUUCACUUGGGUCUUUUAAAUUUUUUUUAAGUGCAGCUCACAGAAGAGCUGUUGCUGGAGGAAGUUACCACACUUGCUUUAGAUAAUGAAACAUACAUUCAAAAAUGGUCAGGGAUUUCCCCUGAGCCACCCACCAAUUGCUUGAAAUGACAUUUUCAUUCUGAGUGCUUUUUUUUUUUUUUUUUUUGUUUAAGAUCCUGGAGCACAGGGAAAGAGUUUUAAUGCAAAAUACCAGAAAAAAAAGUCUGCAACAUCUCCUGUGAGCGGGGGGAGAAAAGGAGAUUAACAAUUGCAUCUUGAAACACGCAUGAUUUGAGGCCAUAUGUGUCCUUUGAACUCUGAAGAAGCUGUGCCAAAAGGAAGCCUUCUCCUCCCCUCCUCCCAUCGCGGAGCCGCUCUUAGAUAAUUGCAAUUAGUAGACAAUGCGGAGCGAACCCAAAUGUGAAGUCUAUGGGUACAGUUUACUCUGUGCAACUUGUAAACUCCAUGGAGCAGGUGUUUGUACAGUGCAUAGCACAGCAGGACCCAGGUUUCAUCGAGGUGUCUGGACAUGCUCUUAUCUCUACCUUACUUUAUUUGAAAGAGGAAAGCCAGUGAGGACCUGUGAACAAUCCAGCAGCUUCUGAAAAAUCUUCAUGCUAAAGGAUAAUCCAGAAUUCCCUGAAGAAGAACAAAGUGAAUGUUGUGAGUUCCUAACACUGAUAACAAAUACUUCCAAUUGUGUCUUUUGGGAGGUAGUAUCUGCCCUGUAUUGUUUGGUCUCUUCCCUGUGAUGCACUGAGCACCAAACACUUGAAUUUCUCUCCCUCCUAAUUUUUUUUCUUUUAAUGGGUUUAGGAGAAGAGUAGUAUUUUCUAAGGAAAGAUGGGGGAUUUCUUUUCCUUGGACUGCUACAGUGAUUUGUCAUACUGCUAUUGCUUUUUAGUUAAAUAUCUGAGCCUGGACUGGAAGACCAUGGGACUGUGUAGCCUAACAAGAAUGAAAAAUACAAUGGCUAACAGUCCAUGAAUCUGCAGGUCAGAUUCAGGAGUUUUAUGCAUGCUUGCACAAUGGUUGAAGUUAUUUGACCACUUUCAAAUUAGAGGAAUGCAAAUGUAGUUAUUUCUGUAGUUAUUUCUGGUAUUCCAAACUCCUGAUGGUCAGUUUUGUAUAUUAGUUUGAGUAUUUCCAGUACAAAUGCUCCUCUCAGAGCUUUGUGUUCAUGGGAACAGGAGUAGCACACCUUUCCUAGGGAAAUACAGUCACUCAACUAAGACCUUGAUUCAGCUGUGGUAUUAAUGAAAAAAAAUGUUCCCAUGAGGGAUGGCUAAAGAGAAAGCAUGAAUAUUUUUAUGUUCAUUGUUUUUUCUUGAAGCCCACUGCUUUUCUGGGUUGAAAUGGGGAAACAUGCUGAUCAAAUGUAAACAUUCUCACAAAAAGAGGAAAACAAGAGUUCUCUGCCUGCCAGGUUUUAGAAUAAUCCUUAUU
rnacentral:lncRNA from 1 species